rnacentral:lncRNA from 1 species
GUGCGGGGUGCUUGGGGCCCGUCGGGGCGGGGCUUUGCGGGGAGAGCAGGGGGGCGGAAAUGCGAGACGCGCCUUCGGUGGCGGAGGCCGGCCGGUGUCCACGGCAGGGCUAGACAGGUCCUCUCCCGUCCACGGGGCGGAAACGAGGGURGGGCGGGACGGGACGUGUUCAGUGCCUGGGGCCAGUCUGCUCCAGGCUUCCGGGAAGGGCGGGGUCAGACUGUCCGGAAGUGGCCGGGGCGGGCGGAGGUGCCCGGCGGGGGCGGGGGGGCCAUGGCUGGCCAGAGGUGGGCCCCGCCCCGGGCGAGCCUAGUAGGGGGCGGAGCAGCGUGUCUGCGAUCCGGUUGCAGCUGGGGCAGAGGUCUGUGGGCAGCCAGAAGCUGCUGUACGUGCCUCUUCCCAGGCAGCCCAGCCCGACGGAGACUCAGGGCCCCGGGAUCUGUCCAGCUGGGGCCAAGACCUGGUGUGCCCCUCUCGGGAUUCAUGAUGGAACACAUCCUGACCUGGGCUUGCUGCUCAUUUAAUGAGUAACUGAGUGUUUUUCACAUUUGGCAGAGAUGAUUGUCUCCUAUUCUUUUCCUGAGGUGUCUUGUCUUCUUUGGGCGACAGGAAAAUGUUGAACUGGCUAGUGUGACAUGUUAAAUAAUCAUGUUUACUAACAUUUUUGUUUCGAAUAAGUAUGCUGUGGAAAACUGAUUCAUGAGACAUACCUUAAUGUAAUUGCAUACUUUUAGCACAUUAAGUACAAUAUUUAGUAUAAUUGUAAAAAAGCAUGAUUUCUGAAUAAAUGUUAACUGUUAUACA